rnacentral:rRNA from 1 species
AUUGAACGCUGGCGGCAGGCCUAACACAUGCAAGUCGAGCGAGCGGCGGACGGGAGAGUAAUGUAUGGGGACUGCCCGAUAGAGGGGGAGAACUACUGGAAACGGUAGCUCAUACCGCAUACUAUCGGAUAACCCAUAUGGGAUUAGCUAGUAGGUGAGGUAAUGGCUCACUUAGGCGACGAUCCCUAGCUGUGCUGAUAGGAUGAUCAGCCACACGGGAACUGAGACACGGCCCAGACUCCUACGGAGGCAGCAGUGGGGAAUAUUGCACAAUGGGCGCAAGCCUGCUGCAGCCAUGCCGCGUGUAGGAAGAAGGCCCUAGUGUUGUAAAGUACUUUCAGUCGGGAGGCGUUACCGACAGAAGAAGCACCUGCUAACUCCGUGCCAGCAGCCGCGGUAAUAC